rnacentral:rRNA from 1 species
UACGGAGGGUGCAAGCGUUAUCCGGAUUCACUGGGUUUAAAGGGUGCGUAGGUGGGGUGGUAAGUCAGUGGUGAAACCUCCGAGCUUAACUUGGAAACUGCCAUUGAUACUAUCAUUCUUGAAUAUUGUGGAGGUCAGCGGAAUAUGUCAUGUAGCGGUGAAAUGCUUAGAUAUGACAUAGAACACCAAUUGCGAAGGCAGCUGGCUACACAUAUAUUGACACUGAGGCACGAAAGCGUGGGGAUCAAACAGG